rnacentral:miRNA from 1 species
UCGCCACCCUCCCUGGGGGAUCCUGUACUGAGCUGCCCCGAGGCCCUGCCUUGUGCCCCACUCGGGGCAGCUCAGUACAGGAUGCGUCGGGGUGGGAGUCAGCCAGCGGCGA